GGGUCCAUAGCUCAGCGGUCCAGAGCCACCGGCUCAUAACCGGUCAGACCUCGGUUCGAAUCCGAGUGGACCCACCA
rnacentral:tRNA from 1 species